GUUUUCUGGAGAGUCCAGACUGUAGACUGGAGAGUCUGAGGGUCGAUGACAGGGUGAUUAAAGCUUCCAGAGACAAAACCUGUCCAGGCAGGGAAACUGUACAGAGGAGACUCCCAGCCGAGGAAAGGCUCACAGCAGAAGACAGGCUCACAGCAGAGGACAGUGUCACAGCAUAGGAAAAGUUGCUCUCAGUUCGGACACAGUUUGUUAAGAGAGUGUCUGGACCUGUUCUAGAGCAGCCUCUGGAUAAACUUUUUGAGCGUGGCGUUGUAAAUGAU